rnacentral:lncRNA from 1 species
UUCAUUGAAUCUAUCUCCCUCAGUACGUGAGUCAUCUAAUCUCCAUGCUAAUAGAUCUCAGUCCAUCAUGUUAGUCGAUCCCUGAGUCCCGGACAAACAAACCACUGCAUUUGCAUCCACCCAUCCCUUCUGUCAGAGUAAGACGAUUGAUCGAAAUUAAAAGAGCCAAAAGCUGCAGGAAGAGGGAACGAAACAAGCACAUGGGAUUGUAUGGAUGGAAGCAAGACGGUGGUGAUGGGUCAGGAAGGAGAAGGACUGUCGAUCAAGAUCAGGACGACGGCUGGGUGCAGUUGUUGGCGGCGCCGCAGCCGCAGGUUUGCGGAGUGAAGGCGCAGGUGCCGAAGGGCUUGCCGGGGAGGUUGCAGUCGAUGGCGUAGCAGCAGCUCGUGUCCACGCAGCUGCUGCCGUUGCCGUUGUUGGACGACGACGACGCGCAGCACCGGCAACCCUCGCACACCUCGAACGGCUCGUACGGUGCCGCCGCUGCCUCUGCCGUCAUCGCCGCCGGUGUCAUGGACCGGUACACCACUCUCCGCACCGGCACGUACGACGACUCCUCCUCGCUGCUGCUGGCUCCUCCUGCUUGUUUGUUAAUCAAAUAAUUUGCUCAUCAUCAGGGACAUCUUGGAUUUAGAACUGAUAUAUAUAUAUAUAUAUAUAUGACUGGAUCAAAUAAAAACAAGCAUGCAUACCUUGAGCUUGCAGCAGGAAGGAGGAGGAGGAGGAGAAGAUGAGCAGGAGGCCGGCAGAAAGGGCGGUGAAGCCGGUGAGGGAGAUCAUCAUCGUUAUGGGAGCUGAAGGGCGGCGUCGAGCCAUGGCCUCCCCUCCUAACGAAUUUGCUUUGGUGGUGGGUGAUAUAUACUAGUGGAAGGUAGAGCAGAGCGAGCACGACGACGACUAAAAAGCGAAGAAGAACAAAAGCUGAUACCCUUCUUCUUGGGUUAACUAACACCACCACGGCACCACUGUAUGUAAGUGCGUGUGAUGUGACACAAUCUUUCUUUAGCGCCCGUGCGUCGUUUCAGAUAAUCAAGUUACUAACGCACGGUUUCUAAGACCAGUGUCAUUGAGUGUUUCACUAGGAUAUGCAUAUUUAUUAGAGCGUCAUGUCAGCAAAAUUGUACCUUUUGCAUGACACGAAAAGGUGAGAGAAGAAAGUAGUUUCACCAUGGUGAAACCCGCGGGCGUUGUUUCCACGCGGUGAAACGGAAUGAAAUCCCCACUGAGGGCUAAAUCGUUUCACCAUCUUCCAUGUAAUCCAAUCAUUUUGCAGUAAUUAAAUGCUUUGCUUAGCCUUUGAAACAACAAAGUGAAAUGCUUCAUUGCUGGGGUUAUUUCAUAGAUGGUUUCAUUUCAAUCUUGAUGACGUGUUAGUAUGUGAAACCGUGCAGUCUAUUGAGAGUUUGAGACUGAACUAAAAUUCAGGUACCUCAAAUUUAUUUAUUGUACUUGCUCUAUUCAGGAAAGAAUGUAAUCCUAGCUUUUCGAGGAGUUAAACAAUUUAAAAUUUAUCUAAAUUUAUAUAAAAAAACUACUAUAUAUAAUUCAUGAUAUAAAAUAAAUAUCACUAGAUUAGUUAUUGAAUAUAUUUUCUAAUACUAAUAUUAUUUAAUAUAAAUUUGAUCAAACUUGUGUUACUUUAACGAGCACAGAUCCUAUAAUUAUAUUUUUUCUUGGAUGAAAGGAGCAAAAUUCUCUAACCUUGGCCAGUAGUGUCAUCUAAGUCCCUGAACUUCUAAAGUGAUAAAGGAGGGUCCCUAAACUUAACUUGGCUGAUGGUGUUAUCCUUGUCCCUAAACUUUUAAAGUAUUCAAAGUAGGUCCCUAAACUCCCCAAGCGAUACCAUCUCUGUAGGAAUAUAAUCAUAUUAAAAGUUAGCUAUAGUAUUAAAAGUUUUUUCUAUUAAAAGUUCAUUCUAAAUUUAAUAUUAUUUUAAAAGUUUUAAUAAUAUUGUUAUAGAAGUAACUUUUUUAUGUUAUUAAUACUAUAACAUUAUUAUUAUUAUUAUAACUUUUAUUACUAUAAUAUUAUUAUUAAUAGUUGUAAUACUAUAAUACUACUUUUAAAAGUAGUAUAGUAUUAUAAUAUAAUACUCCCUUCAUCCCAAAUUAUAAGACACUCCAAGAAUCUUGGAGAGUUAAAGCAUUUUAAGUUUAAUCAAAUUUAUAUAAUAAGAAAAAUAAUAUUUAUAAUAUUAACUAUGUAUCAUUAAGUUCUUUAUUAAUUAUAUAUUCAUAGUAUAUCUAUUUAAUGUCACAAGUUUUUAUAGUUUUUCUUAUAAUUUGGUCAAACUUAAAAUACUUUGACUCUUAAGAUUUUUGAAAUGUUUUAUAAUUUGAAAGGGAGGGAGUACGAAAGAUGUUAACAAACUUCCACUCUUUUGGCAACAAACUUUGGCAGCAUGUAAACAAUAUGGAAGCUUUCACUCUUUCUAGAAUAUUACAACUAAGGUUUGGCAGCAGGGAAUUAUUAACUUGAUAUAAUCACUCUAUCCCUGAUCGAGUGAGUCAUCUAAUCUGCAUGCUACUAGAUCCCAGUGAAGGAUGGGUCAGGAAGGAUCAUCAGGACGCCGGCUGGCUGCAGUUGUUUGCGGCGCCGCAGCCGCAGGUUUUCGGAAGGAAGGCGCAGGUGCCGAAGGGCUUGCCGGGGAGGUUGCAGUUGAUGUCGUAGCAGCAGUUCGUGUCCACGCAGCUGCUCGGAAUGGACGGCGACACGCAGCACCGGCACCUCCGGCACACCUCGAACGGUUCGUACGGCGCCGCUGCUUCUGUCGACAUCGCCGCCGGUGAUAUGGACCGGUACACC